AUUCAGAGCUAGAAAAACAAAAGGUAGUGUACCUGUGGACUUCCUGGUGCUCGGACGGUAAAGACUGCCUGCAAUGCGGGAGACCCGGGUUCAACCCCUGGGUCGGGAAGAAGGUUCAAUUCCUUCCUGGAGAAGGAAACGGCAACCCGCUCCAGUAUUCUUGCCUGGAAGAUUCUACGGACGGAGGAACCUGGUAGGCUACAGUCCAUGGGGUCGCAAAGAGUCGGACACGACUGAGCGACUUCACGCCCUUGGUCUGGAACAUGAUGGCCCAGUCACUUGCUCUGAGGGAUGCCUACCAUGGUGCAAGCUGCCCUACAGAUAGACGCACAUGGCAAGGACCCAAGGAGACCUCUGACCAACAGCCGAUGGGAGCCUGACACCCUCCGUCCAACAUCCUGAGAGAAAAUGACUCCUGCCAGUAACCACAUGGAGGAGACUGAAAGCAGCCUCAAGGGCCUUGGUGGAGCUUUCGGGUGAUGACUCAGCUCCAGGCAAGGUCUUCACGGCAGCUUUGUGAGACUCCUACCGGGAGACACCUAGC
ensembl:lncRNA